rnacentral:snRNA from 1 species
GUGCUUGCUUCGGCAGCACAUAUACUAAAAUUAGAACGAUACAGAGAAGAUUAGCAUGGCCCCUGUGCAAGGAUGAUACGCAAAUUCGUGAAGCGUUCCAUAUUUUU